rnacentral:rRNA from 1 species
CCUACGGGAGGCUGCAGUAGGGAAUCUUCCACAAUGGGCGAAAGCCUGAUGGAGCAACGCCGCGUGGGUGAAGAAGGUCUUCGGAUCGUAAAACCCUGUUGUUAGAGAAGAAAGUGCGUGAGAGUAACUGUUCACGUUUCGACGGUAUCUAACCAGAAAGCCACGGCUAACUACGUGCCAGCAGCCGCGGUAAUACGUAGGUGGCAAGCGUUAUCCGGAUUUAUUGGGCGUAAAGGGACCGCAGGCGUUUUUUUAAGUCUGAUGUGAAAGCCUUCGGCUUAACCGGAGUAGUGCAUUGGAAACUGGGAGACGUGAGUGCAGAAGAGGAGAGUGGAACUCCAUGUGUAGCGGUGAAAUGCGUAGAUAUAUGGAAGAACACCAGUGGCGAAGGCGGCUCUCUGGUCUGUAACUGACGCUGAGGUUCGAAAGCGUGGGUAGCAAACAGGAUUAGAUACCCUUGUAGUC